CACAUUGGCAGGGUUUAAUGCGCCCUGUCAAUUUCAUUAAUAGACGGAGUAAGUUGAAUGGCCCGUAUAGCAGGCGUCAAUAUCCCUGAC
rfam:Reinekea sp. MED297 scf_1099646007057 genomic scaffold, whole genome shotgun sequence.